UCGCGGUGGCGGAGCGUCGUUUGCGACGCCCAACACACAAAACAAGCGGUGAGUGCUUUGGGGUGGGGUGACUGCGUACCUUUUGUAUAAUGGGUCAGCGACUUAUAUUCUGUAGCAAGGUUAACCGUAUAGGGGAGCCGGAGGGAAACCGAGUCUUAACUGGGCGUUAAGUUGCAGGGUAUAGACCCGAAACCCGGUGAUCUAGCCAUGGGCAGGUUGAAGGUUGGGUAACACUAACUGGAGGACCGAACCGACUAAUGUUGAAAAAUUAGCGGAUGACCUGUGGCUGGGGGUGAAAGGCCAAUCAAACCGGGAGAUAGCUGGUUCUCCCCGAAAGCUAUUUAGGUAGCGCCUCGUGAACUCAUCUUCGGGGGUAGAGCACUGUUUCGGCUAGGGGGUCAUCCCGACUUACCAACCCGAUGCAAACUGCGAAUACCGAAGAAUGUUAUCACGGGAGACACACGGCGGGUGCUAACGUCCGUCGUGAAGAGGGAAACAACCCAGACCGCCAGCUAAGGUCCCAAAGUCAUGGUUAAGUGGGAAACGAUGUGGGAAGGCCCAGACAGCCAGGAUGUUGGCUUAGAAGCAGCCAUCAUUUAAAGAAAGCGUAAUAGCUCACUGGUCGAGUCGGCCUGCGCGGAAGAUGUAACGGGGCUAAACCAUGCACCGAAGCUGCGGCAGCGACGCUGAUGCGUUGUUGGGUAGGGGAGCGUUCUGUAAGCCUGUGAAGGUGGCCUGUGAGGGUUGCUGGAGGUAUCAGAAGUGCGAAUGCUGACAUAAGUAACGAUAAAGCGGGUGAAAAGCCCGCUCGCCGGAAGACCAAGGGUUCCUGUCCAACGUUAAUCGGGGCAGGGUGAGUCGACCCCUAAGGCGAGGCCGAAAGGCGUAGUCGAUGGGAAACGGGUUAAUAUUCCCGUA
rnacentral:rRNA from 1 species